rnacentral:rRNA from 1 species
GUAAGGAAUAUUGGUCAAUGGGGGCAACCCUGAACCAGCCAUGCCGCGUGAAGGAUGAAGGCGUUAUGCGUUGAAAACUUCUUUUGUAUGGGAAGAAUGACAGGCAUUCAUCCUUGGAGAGACGGUACCAUACGAAUAAGCACCGGCUAACUCCGUGCCAGCAGCCGCGGUAAUACGGCGGGUGCAAGCGUUAUCCGGAAUCACUGGGUUUAAAGGGUACGUAGGCGGUUAAUUAAGUCAGUAGUGAAAGACUGUCGCUCAACGACGGAUGUGCUAUUGAUACUGGUUAACUUGAAUCAGGUUAGAGUUGGCGGAAUGGGUCAUGUAGCGGUGAAAUGCAUAGAUAUGUCAUGGAACACCGAAAGCGAAGGCAGCUAACGAUACUUAUAUUGACGCUCAUGGACGAAAGCGUGGGUAGCGAACAGGAUUAGAAACCCGGGUAGUCC